rnacentral:rRNA from 1 species
GACGAACGCUGGCGGCGUGCUUAACACAUGCAAGUCGAACGGAAAGGCCCUGCUUUUGUCGGGUGCUCGAGUGGCGAACGGGUGAGUAACACGUGAGUAACCUGCCCUUGACUUUGGGAUAACUUCAGGAAGCUGGGGCUAAUACCGGAUAGGAGCUCCUGUUGCAUGGUGGGGGUUGGAAAGUUUCGGCGGUUGGGGAUGGACUCGCGGCUUAUCAGCUUGUUGGUGGGGUAGUGGCUUACCAAGGCUUUGACGGGUAGCCGGCCUGAGAGGGUGACCGGCCACAUUGGGACUGAGAUACGGCCCAGACUCCUACGGGAGGCAGCAGUGGGGAAUAUUGCACAAUGGGCGGAAGCCUGAUGCAGCAACGCCGCGUGCGGGAUGACGGCCUUCGGGUUGUAAACCGCUUUCGCCUGUGACGAAGCGUGAGUGACGGUAAUGGGUAAAGAAGCACCGGCUAACUACGUG